rnacentral:rRNA from 1 species
UACGGGGGGGGGCAAGCGUUGCUCGGAAUUACUGGGCGUAAAGCGCACGUAGGCGGCUUUCUAAGUCGGGGGUGAAAUCCUGGAGCUCAACUCCAGAACUGCCUUCGAUACUGGAGAGCUCGAGUCCGGGAGAGGUGAGUGGAACUGCGAGUGUAGAGGUGAAAUUCGUAGAUAUUCGCAAGAACACCAGUGGCGAAGGCGGCUCACUGGCCCGGUACUGACGCUGAAGCGCGAAAGCGUGGGGAGCAAACGGG